rnacentral:rRNA from 1 species
UACAGAGGGGGCAAGCGUUGUUCGGAAUUACUGGGCGUAAAGGGCGCGUAGGCGGCCCGCUAAGUCGAACGUGAAAUCCCUGGGCUCAACCCAGGAACUGCGUCCGAUACUGGAUGGCUUGAAUUCGGGAGAGGGAUGCAGAAUUCCAGGUGUAGCGGUGAAAUGCGUAGAUAUCUGGAGGAAUACCGGUGGCGAAGGCGGCAUCCUGGACCGACAUUGACGCUGAGGAGCGAAAGCUAGGGGAGCAAACGGG